GCUUUGAAUCACUUCAGUCCUUCUGUACUGUACAUCAGGAAACCGAUUCAGCGUGUUUCCAAAGAGGACUUCCCUUUUUGUGAUUAGUGAAAGGAAGCAGCUUAGUUUGUGAUUGUGGCAGGUGUGAGCAUACCACUGGACCCGGCAGCCUGUUAUUUGUUAUGACUGUAUGCUCAAGGAUCUCUCGUGGGCGUGGUGAUUCACAAUAUUUGUGAAACCCCUUUUAUAGACUGCUCUGUUUUAUGCCGUCAUUGAGUGUUGACCCUUUUCACCCAGAUGCUCAGAGAAGUCUUUGUGCACUCUGGAAAUACAGCAGGAAGUGUUGCUGAAGGACUUUCUGGGUUCUUCAAAGAUGGCCAGGUAUAUACUUUUCAGAAAAUCAGAUACUUAUCACUGUCCAGUCCGAGCUGCAGACUGUUAUAGAAAAAGUGACGAGACAGUGAAAGUGUUUGUGUAAAGAAAGAAGAGUCAGGGGGACAGGACACAAUUGCAUUAAAGCUUUAGUAGUAACUUAAACAAAACUGAUUGUUUAAAUCAUUUAAACUUCAUUUAAGUUCCAACAUCCUGACCAAAACUCAUUUAAUUCAACCUGUUCAAGCCAACAGAGACAUUAUUUUAACACACACACACACACACACACACACACACACACACACUCGCCUUGUUUCCUGGAUAUGGAGUGGGGAGGAGCAGCACUGACCAUGUGACCCAGACUCAAGAGAACAGGGCUGAGUUCAGUCAGUUCAGACUCCAUUUAGAGUCCCAGAGCAGAAGGAGGAGAACUGAAGGCUGAGGCAGGCUUACAGCCUCUCUUACCUCUCAGACUGACUGAAUUCCAGAAGAUGAGUGUUUAUGUGCAGGACGAGGAGGACGGAGCAGAGUCCUCAGGAUCCAGCUGUCUACUGUCUAUAAAGAGUCACCGGUCCAGAACUCCUCCUCCAGACUUCAGUCCUGAACCUGGACCCUCAGACACAAAAGAGAGGAAGAGGAGUCCUGUUCCUGUGGAGGAGCAGCCGUCCUGCUGUGCUUCGUGUC